AAUCAGUGCUGAAAAUCGUCUCUCAUCCGCCAAAACAUCUUCGGCGUUGUAAGGUUAAGCCUCACGGUUCAUUAGUACCGGUUAGCUCAACGCAUCGCUGCGCUUACACACCCGGCCUAUCAACGUCGUCGUCUUCAACGUUCCUUCAGGAGACCUAAAGUCUCAGGGAGAACUCAUCUCGGGGCAAGUUUCGUGCUUAGAUGCUUUCAGCACUUAUCUCUUCCGCAUUUAGCUACCGGGCAGUGCCAUUGGCAUGACAACCCGAACACCAGUGAUGCGUCCACUCCGGUCCUCUCGUACUAGGAGCAGCCCCCCUCAGUUCUCCAGCGCCCACGGCAGAUAGGGACCGAACUGUCUCACGACGUUCUAAACCCAGCUCGCGUACCACUUUAAAUGGCGAACAGCCAUACCCUUGGGACCUACUUCAGCCCCAGGAUGUGAUGAGCCGACAUCGAGGUGCCAAACACCGCCGUCGAUAUGAACUCUUGGGCGGUAUCAGCCUGUUAUCCCCGGAGUACCUUUUAUCCGUUGAGCGAUGGCCCUUCCAUUCAGAACCACCGGAUCACUAUGACCUGCUUUCGCACCUGCUCGCGCCGUCACGCUCGCAGUCAAGCUGGCUUAUGCCAUUGCACUAACCUCCUGAUGUCCGACCAGGAUUAGCCAACCUUCGUGCUCCUCCGUUACUCUUUAGGAGGAGACCGCCCCAGUCAAACUACCCACCAGACACUGUNNNNNNNNNNNNNNNNNNNNUCCACGUUAGAACAUCAAACAUUAAAGGGUGGUAUUUCAAGGUCGGCUCCAUGCAGACUGGCGUCCACACUUCAAAGCCUCCCACCUAUCCUACACAUCAAGGCUCAAUGUUCAGUGUCAAGCUAUAGUAAAGGUUCACGGGGUCUUUCCGUCUUGCCGCGGGUACACUGCAUCUUCACAGCGAGUUCAAUUUCACUGAGUCUCGGGUGGAGACAGCCUGGCCAUCAUUACGCCAUUCGUGCAGGUCGGAACUUACCCGACAAGGAAUUUCGCUACCUUAGGACCGUUAUAGUUACGGCCGCCGUUUACCGGGGCUUCGAUCAGGAGCUUCGCUUGCGCUGACCCCAUCAAUUAACCUUCCGGCACCGGGCAGGCGUCACACCGUAUACGUCCACUUUCGUGUUUGCACAGUGCUGUGUUUUUAAUAAACAGUUGCAGCCAGCUGGUAUCUUCGACUGACUUCAGCUCCAUGAGUAAAUCACUUCACCUACGUGUCAGCGUGCCUUCUCCCGAAGUUACGGCACCAUUUUGCCUAGUUCCUUCACCCGAGUUCUCUCAAGCGCCUUGGUAUUCUCUACCUGACCACCUGUGUCGGUUUGGGGUACGAUUUGAUGUUACCUGAUGCUUAGAGGCUUUUCCUGGAAGCAGGGCAUUUGUUGCUUCAGCACCGUAGUGCCUCGUCGUCACGCCUCAGUGUUAAAGUGAACCGGAUUUACCUGGAACACACACCUACACGCUUAAACCGGGACAACCGUCGCCCGGCCAACAUAGCCUUCUCCGUCCCCCCCUUCGCAGUAACACCAAGUACGGGAAUAUUAACCCGUUUCCCAUCGACUACGCCUUUCGGCCUCGCCUUAGGGGUCGACUCACCCUGCCCCGAUUAACGUUGGACAGGAACCCUUGGUCUUCCGGCGAGCGGGCUUUUCACCCGCUUUAUCGUUACUUAUGUCAGCAUUCGCACUUCUGAUACCUCCAGCAACCCUCACAGGCCACCUUCACAGGCUUACAGAACGCUCCCCUACCCAACAACACCUGAGUGUCGCUGCCGCAGCUUCGGUGCAUGGUUUAGCCCCGUUACAUCUUCCGCGCAGGCCGACUCGACCAGUGAGCUAUUACGCUUUCUUUAAAUGAUGGCUGCUUCUAAGCCAACAUCCUGGCUGUCUGGGCCUUCCCACAUCGUUUCCCACUUAACCAUGACUUUGGGACCUUAGCUGGCGGUCUGGGUUGUUUCCCUCUUCACGACGGACGUUAGCACCCGCCGUGUGUCUCCCGUGAUAACAUUCUCCGGUAUUCGCAGUUUGCAUCGGGUUGGUAAGCCGGGAUGGCCCCCUAGCCGAAACAGUGCUCUACCCCCGGAGAUGAAUUCACGAGGCGCUACCUAAAUAGCUUUCGGGGAGAACCAGCUAUCUCCCGGUUUGAUUGGCCUUUCACCCCCAGCCACAGGUCAUCCGCUAAUUUUUCAACAUUAGUCGGUUCGGUCCUCCAGUUAGUGUUACCCAACCUUCAACCUGCCCAUGGCUAGAUCACCGGGUUUCGGGUCUAUACCCUGCAACUUAACGCCCGGUUAAGACUCGGUUUCCCUCCGGCUCCCCUAUACGGUUAACCUUGCUACAGAAUAUAAGUCGCUGACCCAUUAUACAAAAGGUACGCAGUCACACAGGUAAACCUGUGCUCCCACUGCUUGUACGUACACGGUUUCAGGUUCUUUUUCACUCCCCUCGCCGGGGUUCUUUUCGCCUUUCCCUCACGGUACUGGUUCACUAUCGGUCAGUCAGGAGUAUUUAGCCUUGGAGGAUGGUCCCCCCAUAUUCAGACAGGAUACCACGUGUCCCGCCCUACUCAUCGAGCUCACAGCACAUGCGCUUUUGUGUAC
rnacentral:rRNA from 1 species